AUACUUACCUGGACGGGGUCAAUUGGCGAUCCAUAAGGCCAAUGGCCUAGGUUGGCGACCUCCAUUGCACUUAGGAGGGGCGCCCGCCUAAGGUCGGCCCAAGUGGUCGAGCCUACGUCAUAAUUUGUGUUAGAGGGGGCUUGCGUUCGCGCAGCCCCUGC